rnacentral:rRNA from 1 species
UACGGAGGGGGCUAGCGUUGUUCGGAAUUACUGGGCGUAAAGCGUGCGCAGGCGGCUUCUCAAGUCAGGGGUGAAAGCCCAGAGCUCAACUCUGGAAUUGUCUUUGAGACUGAGUGGCUUGAGUACGAGAGAGGUGAGUGGAAUUCCCAGUGUAGAGGUGAAAUUCGUAGAUAUUGGGAAGAACACCGGUGGCGAAGGCGGCUCACUGGCUCGUAACUGACGCUCAUGCACGACAGCGUGGGGAUCAAACAGG